GAACAAUUUACCCUGGUUCCAUCCCAGACUCCAGUCAGUCUCCCUGCAGCUUCAAGUGGCAUCAAAGAGGUUCUGGAGACUGGGAAGUGCAAGAUCAAGGCACCAGCAGAUUUCACAUCAGCCUCCAGCAAAUCCCAAGAUGGCCACAGCAGCUGCAGCAGCAGGAAAAUGACGGCAGUGGCAAUAAGGUCUACAACUCUGUGAGAAGUAAACCUAUAAAAUGAUUAUCAUCUCCACUGCACUGAAGAAGAAAAAUACUGAGAGGACAACAUGCUCUUCAGUAAGGUGAGAAUACUUUUCCUGAACCUGAUUCCUCAGCUUCCAAAUCCCAUGACUAUUAUCCACACACCAUUGAAGUCCAGCAUAUAAGUGUAUAAUGCUCCAUCUUCACCAUGAGCUUCCCUCUCCUACCCCUAUAGCUACAUGUUUCACUAGCUUCAUCAUAGUUACUCAUCAACAUAUAUUUGCUGCCCCAUGAGGAACUGGUUAGUUCACUUUACACAUCUUUGAUCUGAUAAUUUUACUGUUUAUUCAUGCCCAUUUACUAUUCUUACCUUCUUCAAAGUCCAAGCAAGUUUCACCUCUGGAAAUAGUCUCUAAAUCCAAACCACGUGUAGUUCUGUUAACACAUUAGGAUAUGGUUUAUAUUAAGUGCCAGGGUAGCAGUUACUUGUGUUAGAAGGAAAAUGACUAGAGGCAGAGAAACCCAUCUAUGACUUAUAAGUCUUGUGAUAUUUUACAGUGCAUAUUGGAGUUUUCUCAAACAUUAGGGAGCUAAUAGCUACCACAUAGAGUUUUGUGAAGAUUAAAUAAAUUACAGCUAAAACACCAACUAUAGUAAUUAACUAAUGUUAACUCUUUAAAAUAUUUCCUUUCUAUAGGUCUAUUUAUACAUCAAUUAAUUCUAUAAUCUACAUAAUACAUGCAUUCAAAUUACCUAUUAUGUUCAGUGCUUUAACAAUUAAUUAUGUUGGGUAACUUGUGUUUUUCUAGGAAUCUGUCCAUUUUAUCUAAGUUCUAAUGUGCUGACAUAAAGUGGUUCAAAAUUCUUUUCAAGUCUUUGAAUUUUGGAAAAGUCUAUAAAUAUGUCUCUUAUUUUUGAUGGUAAUUUGUGCCUUCUUUUUCUGUGAUCAGCCUAUUUAAAGGAAUAACAAUUUUAUUAAUCUUUUGAUAAAUAACUUGUUUUCAAUAAUUUUCUUUUAUCUUUUUUCUCUAAUUUAUUGAUUUAUGCUCUAUUCUUAUUUUCUUGUUCUGAGUUUGUUUUGCUUUCCUUUUAAUAGGUAUUCGAGGUGGAAACUUAGAUUAUUGAUUUUCUGUUUGCCUUUGGCUUUUAGUAGAUUGGCUCUAAUUUCUCUACAUGUAGUUCCCUUUGUGUUUACCUACCAGGUUCUUUCAGGAUCUUGAAUCAAUAGGGUAAUUUUUAAAAAACAACAAAUUUUGGAAUUUUUUAGCCAUUUUUUUCAAAUAGUUUUUCCAGCACUAUUACUUUUAUAAUAGUGGGCUGUAACUUUUUAUGUGUAUGUUGAGAUGCUUAUGACAAGUUUCUGAGGCUCUGUUUAUUAUAUAUAUAUAUAUAAUUUUUUUUUUUUUUGCUAUUUCUUGGAUUGGAAACCUAUAGUUCUGUCUUCAAAUACAUUGAUUAUUUCUUCUGACAUCUAAAAUCUUUUGUUGGCUCUACUAAAUUUUUAAAUUUUGUAUAGUUUUCAAGUUCAGAAUUUCCACAUUAUUUUUAUAGAUUGUAUUUUACUAUCUUUUAAUUUUUCUGUACUUAUUUCAGUUAGUUUCUAUUAGCUUCAUUUUAUUUCCUGAAAAUGGGUCAUACUUUCCUGUUUUUUGCAUAUUUAGUAUUCUUUAGUUUUUUGAAAAACAGACACUUUAGAAAAUAUAUCCAUACUAGAUUGUGAUUUAUUUCUCUGACAACUGUUGGGUUUGAGUAACUGCCUAGACUUAACCUUUUGAAUCUCUCUCCCCCAUGGUGUGCAGCACCUCGUGUCUCUGCUCGGUUACUUUUUUUUACCUUAAUCCUUGUUUUACUUGUUAGCCUGCCUUCUUAGAGAUUAUUCAUGUGCACACCCAGCUUAAUGAUCAGUCGAUAAUUUUGGCAAAGAUUAUGCUCAACAUCUUGGGCCCUCUAAGUCUUCCUCACUCUACCAAGUAAUCUUCCUAUGGGUUGGAGAAUGCAGUCAGAGUUGCAGACAAUUUUCACGUCUCCCUUGUUUUCACUUUUCACUGCACUAGGUUGGUUGGUUCUUGUGCAUGCAUGGUAUUUCAGUCAGCCUGGGGUGUGUGGGAGCUUAUCUCACCCUCCUGUGCCUUUUUCUUCUCCAAAUAUUCCCAUUAAAAACAUAUCUUGUUGGUCUGCUGCUCUCCUUAAAAGUCACCGCAACUUUGGGAUAACAAAGUUACAAAUGUUUACAGUUUGUUCCCCAAAAUUAAUUUAUUUUGUGCUUGGUAAAGUAUAUGUUUUUUAUUAUAAUAUCAUAGCUCUCAUAAUAAUAUGGCAUUUAUUUUUAUUUAAUUUUGAUUAGUUGUUCACUCAUAUUUUUAAUCUUCAGAUAUUUUUUGCUUUUAUAGAUAACUUUGUAUUUUGGUUUUGUUUGGCUAAAUCCAAUAUGAAACCACAUUUUUGCAUUUUGUAUUGUUUUAGGUCAUGUAUAACAUUGUAAUGGUCUUUGACAUACUCCUAUGUAUGUGAUCUCAUUUCAUGAUUUUGUUUGUUGUUAGUUUCUUUUGAAACACCAUUUCUCUUAUGCCUUUUGGUAUCUAAACUAUUCUCUAUUUUGUUAUGAUUGUUUCAUUUGGAAAGUAGAAUGUAAUUUUCAUUUACAUGUUUAUAUGACCACGGUAAACUGUAUGUACAUUAAUGCAUACCUGUACAAUUAAACACAU
rnacentral:lncRNA from 1 species